GCCACCCCGCGCCUCGCUGCCGCCCGGCCACUGCGCGCCUCCCCUCCGACGGGCUCGCCGGCCCCUCCCCGCGCGCCUCCCCUCCGACGAGCACCGGCCCCUCUUCGUCGACGGGCCCUGGCCCCUCCCUGUUCGCCUCCUCGCUGGCGUUUGCCGUCCCCUCCCCACGCUUCUUCCCGCGGGCGUUCGCCGGCCCCUACCCGCGAGUCUCCUAGCCAUCGGGCCCUCCCCGCUGCCAUCGAUGCCAACUGCUGCCCGCGAACGGGAUGGGUUCAAUGCCCGCUGCCGGGAUCCAGCGCCCCCCCAUCUCCCGAUUCACUGUCUGCCGCGCAUGGCGUCGCCCUUCCUUCCUUCCUCUUAAUCUUCUAUGCCAGCCGGCUGUGGCAUCCCAUGUGCUGCAGCUUCCAGCGUCGUCCUCUGCCUUGUCGGCGCACAAGCCGUUCGCCUCAGCCACCCCAGUCCGUUCACCAUUUCCAGCAGAGUCCGUUCAACACUAGCGUGCAGCUACCCGCCUCCUGGAUUCAGGGACGCAUUCAUGGCUUCAUUCAACAAGUGGACUGUGGGAAGAUGUUCAUCAACAAGUCUGCGGUAUUAAGUUUAGCUGCUAGUACAUAUUAUGGAUUUGGGGACAUGAGGGAGCGAGUGGUACAUGGAUCGAUUGGUGUAGUCUUUGUAGGUUGAGUAGAUUCUUCAAGAGUACUGAGGUUUCUUCAGGAGUACUGAAGAGCUUUAUUGUUCUUGGAAAAAUGAUAAUUAGCUAAAAAUGUUAGCUCUGUCAUUCCAUAAUUAUUGAUUAAUUGUUUGGUCUGAUUUCAAGGUACGGACAACAGGAAAGAAAUCUUGCAUCGUUUGCAUAUGGUACAUAGACAUGUUUCCCAUUCAGCCGCCAACUCCACGCUUAGUUCGUUAGCUGAUUAUAGGGAAAACAAAAGUUGGUAAGUUCAAAAUGUCCAGUCCUAUAAGUUCAUCUAAUCUAUGUAGGAUUUUGUACUAUGAGUUCAUCUACUCUAUGUGUUUGGGCAGUACAAAUAUGGCUACAGUAUAUUACUGCUAUGUAGAAUUUUGUCCUGUGAGUUCAUCUACUCUACUGUAUGAGUUCAUCUACUCUACAGUACAAGUUCAGCUAUGAGAAAGAAUUAGCAAAACUGAAAGAAAAAAUGAAUGUUACCAGAAUUGAAAGCAAAUGAUUUUUCAAACUUUUGGAUGAGAUCUUGCUCAGUUUUCUGGUUAAAAAAAAAGACAACAUGGAUUUACCAUGUUCUACCGGUGUUACUACUUUGUACUGAUCCUGGAAGCCUAUGAGCGGUACAUUUUCCUAAGCGGGUAAUGAUCGCAAACUCUUGGUUAUGAUGGAUUUUAAUAUAGAGCUAGGCCUUGUCACUGCGAAUUUAUUAUGCACCUGAUCCAAAUUCUUCUGAUGUUCUGGGCCUCUGGGGCAUGGGUCCAAUAUAUUAGUUUCUAUGCUCCACUGGUCCUCUCCACCACGAGCCCUAGUGUGGAUCACCUGCGGCGGCCAAAUCCCGGCGGGCCCAGCCACUGCUCGUGAACCCCGCCUCCAUCAGCUCCACUUCACCGGAGCCGUCAGUCCGCAGGAGUAGGGGUAGCAGGUUCACCCGACGUGCGACGCCUUCUUUCAUCUCCAAAAAUCUUGUUUAUUGAGUUCAGUUCUUCGUCGCAUGUUUCACUAGCUAAAAAAUGUAUGGUGUUCUGAAAUUGCUUGCGAACCACUAGCUGAAAAAAAUAAUCCCUCUUCUUGUAAGUUCUGGUCAGAGUUUAGACUAUACCAAAUGUCCAAAUUACAUGGUGUGGUCUUCUGUUCUUUCCGUUCAUUUCAAGUUAACUGUAGCUGAACAUGUGUUGUGUUGAUACUGAACUUGUGAUUUGUCUGAUUCUAAACUGAUGCGUAUCCAACAUUGGUGUUUAAACAAUUUUUGGUCCAUUGACUGUUUGAACUUGCAACCUUACUGCCUUGAACUAUGGUAUAAAAAAACUGAACUCAUGCAGGUACUUGGUGGUGCAGACUUGGUAGCGGUGAUAUUUUGGUUCGAUUACAUAUCAACAACAGGUGCAGACCCAAAGUGGUCGGACCCUUCCCUGGACCCUGUGCAAGCGGGAGCUACAUGCACCAGGUUGCCCUUUUUUUACAUAUCAACAACAGUGCAAUGACUGAAAGAUCAUCAGUUCAAAAUAUAUAUGCAGGAGGAGGUUCAAAGAUUGUCGUGGAGCAAGUUAAAGAGUUUAGUACACCUGCGUCAGUCGGCCACCGUAGGAUGUAGCUACUACUCUCUCAAGUCAUAGGCUGCGGUUGCUACUUCUUUGUACUCGUAAUUUGUUAUUUCUUUGCAACCAGAUGUGACAGACGGAUGCAAGAGGCAAAGUGUCCUAUUUGUUAGAUGUUCAGUACAGAUUUUUCUCUAAGAAAAAACAACAUGAGGCAACAGUUUUGAAUGUGCUAGUUGUAAGUAACUUAGUUGUUAGAUGGUCAUUUCAGAUUUUUGUAGAUGCAACAACUAGUUUGUUUUCUUGUGCUAGUUGAACUGGUUUUCUUGUGCUAGUUGAACUGGUCUUGGUUCAGAUAUUUCUCUGAGAAAAAAGUAGCAAGAGGCGACAGUAUUGAAUGAUCUUUGUUA